UACAGAGGUCUCAAGCGUUGUUCGGAAUCACUGGGCGUAAAGGGUGCGUAGGCGGCGCGGUAAGUCAGAGGUGAAAUGCCGGGGCUCAACCCCGGAACUGCCUCCGAUACUGCCGCGCUUGAGGACUGGAGAGGAGUCUGGAAUUCACAGUGGAGCAGUGAAAUGCGUGGAUAUUGUGAGGAACACUAGUGGCGAAGGCGAGACUCUGGACAGUUCCUGACGCUGAGGCACGAAGGCCAGGGGAGCAAACGGG
rnacentral:rRNA from 1 species